GGCCGGGUUUUAGUAUAUACUAGUUUUUUGAAAUAAAAAAAGCAAUACCACCCUCUUGAUAGAACAAGAGGGUGGUAUUGCUUUUUUUUAUAUUUCAGACUGUUUUAUAUAAACAAAUAUUUUUGAAUGAUCAAAAAGGAAUCCUUUGAAAUAAAAAUAAAUAAAAUUGGCGG
rnacentral:misc_RNA from 1 species